AGUCGUAACAAGGUUUCCGUAGGUGAACCUGCGGAAGGAUCAUUGAAUCUAUCAAUACACACACCGCGAACCAUGCUGUUGGUCCGGGGCGCCGGACUUCAUUGACCGGCACCCUGCGGCCCGGGAUCCACACAUAUAUAUAUGUGUGUGGCGCCUGGGCCGGGUUCCCUCUGAACACCCGCUCCCUGCUGGUACCCCAGCACAGCUCAGAGGGCGCUGGCCCCCUUUAUACUCAUUACCAACACCCAACAAACCUUCUGCUGAACUUAAUCACAACUGUGCGCGUGGCCUGGCCACCGCAUCACAACUGAGACAACUCUCAACAACGGAUAUCUUGGCUCUC
rnacentral:misc_RNA from 1 species